rnacentral:rRNA from 1 species
GCUAAUGCCGUGGCGUGUGUCGGGGGAAGGCGGGGGGGGCAAGUGGUGGUAGGAAUUACUGGGCGUAACGGGCGUGGAGGCGUCCUUCUAAGGCGGGCGGGAAAGCCCCCGGCUCAACCGGGGAACUGCGUUCGAUACUGGAAGGCUUGAAUCCGGGAGAGGGAUGUGGAAUUCCAGGUGUAGCGGUGAAAUGCGUAGAUAUCUGGAGGAACACCGGUGGCGAAGGCGGCAUCCUGGACCGGCAUUGACGCUGAGGCGCGAAAGCUAGGGGAGCAAACGGGAUUAGAUACCCCUGUAGUC